GAUGAACGCUGGCGGCGUGCCUAAUACAUGCAAGUCGAGCGAAUGGAUUAAGAGCUUGCUCUUAUGAAGUUAGCGGCAGACGGGUGAGUAACACGUGGGUAACCUGCCCAUAAGACUGGGAUAACUCCGGGAAACCGGGGCUAAUACCGGAUAACAUUUUGAACCGCAUGGUUCGAAAUUGAAAGGCGGCUUCGGCUGUCACUUAUGGAUGGACCCGCGUCGCUUUAGCUAGUUGGUGAGGUAACGGCUCAACAAGGCAACGAUGCGUAGCCGACCUGAGAGGGUGAUCGGCCAACCUGGGACUGAGACACGGCCCAGACUCCUACGGGAGGCAGCAGUAGGGAAUCUUCCGCAAUGGACGAAAGUCUGACGGAGCAACGCCGCGUGAGUGAUGAAGGCUUUCGGGUCGUAAAACUCUGUUGUUAGGGAAGAACAAGUGCUAGUUGAAUAAGCUGGCACCUUGACGGUACCUAACCAGAAAGCCACGGCUAACUACGUGCCAGCAGCCGCAGUAA
rnacentral:rRNA from 1 species